AACUUCAUGGUUGUUGAUUGAUCAUCGAUGGUAGUCUGACCCUUACAUGUGAUAUUGACUUUCCUUAUGACUAUGACUUUCUCCUUUUUACACCACCCCCUGGUUGGGCACUACUUAGUGGAUUCCUUCCAUCAAGGUUUCGCCAAAUGGUACUGAAACAAAGAAUUCCACGCGAUGUCAUCAGUGUGACGGACUUCUGUCACAAACUCGCAUUGUACAGUACCUGUACUACUAUGUACACAUACCCGUAUUGUACUGCACAUGAUUGUUACGUCCGUGCAUACUGAGUCUAUCCACACUGAAAAAAUAUGC
rnacentral:sRNA from 1 species